UGAAUUUAAGGAGGACACAAACAUUCAGUCAAUAGCAUAGCAGUGUUGCCCUGGGUUUGUUCUGAAGAGUCCGUGAUUAACUAGAAUGCAAUUGCAACAGCCACAUUUUUCAAAUGUUGAGGAAGUGAAGGGUCUCCCUUCUCCCUGCCCCACUCAAAUAGAGUCCUUGUCCUAUAACUGUGCAGGAAGAGUGUGAACUGUCAUGGUCAAGGGAGGCUUAAGGAGGAGACGACAGCUGCUCCUAUCUUUGAAGGAUGGAGGGAAAUUACUUACAUUGUGUGAAGAGGAAAGAGCCUUCCUUUAGGUUGGAAAGGCACAGGGUGAAGCCAAGAAAGGGUAGUGGUAGGAAUGCAGGUAGCUCAUUAAAGGACUGGGGAGGAAGGCAGCUGGGCCAGAGUGGAGGGGCCGAGCAGCGGCCAGUGGAAGGCAGUUGGAAUAAUCAGCUGGAACCAUCUUGGGAAGGGUAUUUAAUCUUCCUACAGGUAUUCUCACUGUUUUUUUUUGACCUUGAAAAACAUGAAUGGUGUAAGUUCAACCAAAUAUUCUGCUACUGAGUGUGAGGUUCAAUCCUUCUCAAACAUUUUCUCAUCUUCACAAAGUCCUAGAGUUAAAGAAACACUCUCUAUAUUGUUACAUAUAGGCACAUGGGAUGGACACUACCUGACUAUUAGGGUCACAACUGUAGAAGGCAGGACUAGGUGAGCAGUCCCAUUUGAAGGAAUUGCAUGUCAUACAUUAACACCAAGAACAAGUUUGUGCUUCCUUGAAGGUACACAUUAU
rnacentral:lncRNA from 10 species